CACAGGAAGUGCAUAGAAAAAGAAAAGGGAGACCUAGGGGAAAAUUUCCAAGCCAGACCCCAGUGAGGAGGACAGCCCGGCCAGCCACACCCUCUGCUUCCACACACCCUCCAUGCCCGU
rnacentral:lncRNA from 1 species